GUUCCUGUAGCGCAAUGGAUAGCGCGUUGGACUUCUGAUCCAAAGGUAGUGGGUUCGAAUCCCACCUGAGUUG
rnacentral:tRNA from 1 species